AAGACCUUGCGCUUUUGGAGCGGCCGAMGCCUGAUUAGCUUGUUGGUAAGGUAAAAGCUUACCAAGGCUUCGAUCAGUAGCUGGUCUGAGAGGACGGCCAGCCACACUGGGACUGAGACACGGCCCAGACUCCUACGGGAGGCAGCAGUGGGGAAUUUUGGACAAUGGGGGCAACCCUGAUCCAGCCAUGCCGCGUGAGUGGAGAAGGCCUUCGGGUUGUAAAGCUCUUUCAGCCGGAACGAAACGGUUACGGUUAAUACCCGUGAUUACUGACGGUACCGGAAGAAGAAGCACCGGCUAACUACGUGCCAGCAGCCGCGGUAAUACGUAGGGUGCGAGCGUUAAUCGGAAUUACUGGGCGUAAAGCGUGCGCAGGUGGUUUUGUAAGUCAGAUGUGAAAGCCCCGGGCUCAACCUGGGAACU
rnacentral:rRNA from 1 species